rnacentral:rRNA from 1 species
UGACCGUGCAAAGGUAGCAUAAUCAAUUGUCUUUUAAUUAAAGGCUGGAAUGAACGGUUUGAUGAGAUAAAAUCUAUUUUUAUUUUAUUAAAAUGAAUUUAAAUUUUUAGUAAAAAUGCUUAAAUAAAAUAAUUAGACGAGAAGACCCUAUAAAUCUUUAUUUUAUAUUAUUAUAAUUUAUUAAGAAGUUUUUAUUUUUUAAUAAAAAAAAAUUUUAUUGGGGUGAUAAUGAAAUUUAAUAAACUUUUAUUUUAUAGAUUAAAAUUUAUGAUUUUUUUAAUUGAUCCAUUAUUAGUGAUUAAAAAUUUAAGUUACUUUAGGGAUAACAGCGUAAUUAUUUUAGAGAGUUCAUAUCGAUAAAAUAGAUUGCGACCUCGAUGUACAAUGCAUAAGCGUGCAAUAGGUAGCGCAUGCCCUG